UAAGUGGCGACCGGGUGAGUAACACGUGACUAACCUACCCUUGAAUGGGGAAUAACCUUCCGAAAGGAGGGCUAAUACCGCAUAACCUCCUAAGGAUGAAACGCCUAGGGACCAAAGGAGCAAUUCGUUUAAGGAGGGGGUCGCGGUUGAUUAGCUAGUUGGUGGGGUAAUGGCCCACCAAGGCGAUGAUCAAUAGCCGGCCUGAGAGGGCGCACGGCCACACUGGAACUGAAACACGGUCCAG
rnacentral:rRNA from 1 species